AAAUUAUCGCAACGUGGUCUCUCUGGGUUUUCUCCUAAUGCCUCCUUGGAUGUUUCCCCGGAUGCUUCCUGAACUCAACGCUGACUCUGGGUGGUCCUGGCUAUGAGAAUAAAGAUCCCAGUGAAAAAUUCCAAAUGAUCAGGCAUGGAGGCGGAAUGGACAAGGAAAUGGAGAUGCAACUAGAAAGUCAUGAGAGAAGCCAGUCAAAGAUUUGGAAUCAGGAAAACCCAUCUUCCAUGGAUGCUGAGACGCAAGGCUUUCUUGCCCAACAAGGAAAAAUAAAGGAAAAGUAUACUGGAAAAAGUAUAAGACUAUUAAAAGACAAAUUAGUUGUAAAUGAACACUCUCCAACCCA